GAACAAGCUGUUAAGAGCAUAUGGCGGAUGCCUUGGUGCUAACAGGCGAUGAAGGACGUGAUAAGCUGCGAUAAGCUUCGGAUAGCGGCAAGUACGCUUUGUCACGGGAUUU
rnacentral:rRNA from 1 species